rnacentral:rRNA from 1 species
CACGUAGGGCGCGAGCGUUGUCCGGAAUUAUUGGGCGUAAAGAGCUCGUAGGCGGCCUGUUGCGUCCGCUGUGAAAGCCCGGGGCUUAACCCCGGGUCUGCAGUGGAUACGGGCAGGCUAGAGGUAGGUAGGGGAGAAUGGAAUUCCCGGUGUAGCGGCGAAAUGCGUAGAGAUCGGGAGGAACAUCCAUGGCGAAGGCAGCUCCCUGGACCAACACUGACACUGAGGCACGAAAGCGUGGGGAGCAAACAGG